UGGAAAGGAAGAUGAGAUACUGUUUGUUCUUCGCUCUUUAUCUGUCAGGGUCUGCUGGAGUGUUGGUGAAACAGUGGACAGAUAAGAUGCAUUACGCACCUGGAGAGACAGGAGUUAUUUACUGCAGUCUCCCCACUGGUGUGAAGGGCUACAGCAUGAAGUGGGUGAUUCCUAACAUACAUGAUCCAAAAACAUUCAGUGUGUUGAACAAGGUAGCCGUGAUUGCAUCUCGGGCGACCGUAGAGAGCAAUAACACCUUUACCACCCUCAGGCUGAGGAACCUUUCCAUGAAUGACACACAGAAGCUGGUAUGUUUUGCAAAAUUCCUCAUCGAAGGAGAAGUGGUACGAGGUUGGAGUAAUGGCACUGUGUUUGCAGUUUCUGAAGAAAUUCAAUAUGAGCUCAUCACAUCUAGUCCAACAACAUCACCCUCCUCCUCUUCCUCCUCCUCCUUCUCCUGGAUUAAUUAUCUACUUAUGUCUUGUAAUAUUUUGAUGCUCAUAAUAGGCACCAUCAUCUGUAUCACAGUUGCCCGAAAUGUACACAGGCAAAGAAAGUACAGAGAUAAAUAGAUUCAUUGUGGCUCCUUUAACUUGUGUAUCUUCUGUGUGAGAUAUGUGUCAGCUUCUUUACACUUUGCCAAAGCAUUGAAAAAAAUUCAUGCAGGAUUCAUAUGAAUGCAAAAAUUCUUUGCUGCUCAGAGCUUACAUAGGAAUGUCCAGUUCUUUCCUGUUUCUGUGGCAUAGGUCAGAAUCAAUACAGGACACAAACACCCUCUCCACAAAAAGUCUAGUAUUGUAACCACUCUGAUUGGUGGAUUCAUUCAUUCAUUCAUUCAUUCAUUUAUCAUUGAUUUGCUUUGGUUGUUACCAUUUCUUUUCUCACCUCUAUCAUAAAGAC